UGGGUAUAUAUACGUACAGAUUGUUUGGUAAUCUUACAUCUUUACACCUGUUUUGUCCAAGAAAUGCAUCUUACAACAUGCUCGCUCACCUAGCCUACGAGUGCAGCGGCGCACAGCACACUGCUGUUCGCCACAUUCUACAACCACCUCUAAAUCUUUAUUCUUCACCAUAUGAACAACAAGCACAUACUAGAAAUCUUUACCAGUUGCUGAUCUUGUAUCUACUCUGAUCUAUGAAGUCCGAGUAGUAGUGUUUUCUGCUUCCACGGCCACAUCCUGCACAUUGCCAUCUUCCGUUGUCGGAUGGACAUCCAUCGGCUUACCCUCUAUUGUAACAGGCCCUUCGUUCACCACCACCUCAC
rnacentral:lncRNA from 1 species